UACGAAGGGGGCUAGCGUUGCUCGGAAUCACUGGGCGUAAAGCGCACGUAGGCGGAUUGCUAAGUCAGGGGUGAAAUCCUGGAGCUCAACUCCAGAACUGCCUUUGAUACUGGCGACCUUGAGUCCGGGAGAGGUGAGUGGAACUGCGAGUGUAGAGGUGAAAUUCGUAGAUAUUGGGAAGAACACCAGUGGCGAAGGCGGCUAACUGGUCCAGCACUGACGCUGAGGUGCGAAAGCGUGGGGAGCAAACAGG
rnacentral:rRNA from 1 species